rnacentral:rRNA from 1 species
UCAGGAUGAACGCUGGCGGCGUGCCUAACACAUGCAAGUCGAGCGGAGAUAAUGGGAGAUUCUUCGGAUGAUCUAUUAUCUUAGCGGCGGAUGGGUGAGUAACACGUGGGUAACCUGCCCUGCACAGGGGGAUAACAGCUGGAAACGGCUGUUAAUACCGCAUAUGCACACGCUGCCGCAUGGCAGGGGGUGGAAAGAUUUAUCGGUGCAGGAUGGGCCCGCGUCGGAUUAACUAGUUGGCAGGGUAACGGCCUACCAAGGUGAUGAUCCGUAGCCGACCUGAGAGGGUGACCGGCCACAUUGGGACUGAGACACGGCCCAAACUCCUACGGGAGGCAGCAGUGGGGGAUAUUGCACAAUGGGCGCAAAGCCCGAUGCAGCGACGCCGCGUGAAGGAAGAAGUAUUUCGGUAUGUAAACUUCUAUCAGCGGGGAAGAAGAUGACGGUACCCGACUAAGAAGCCCCGGCUAACUACGUGCCAGCCGCUGC